AGCCUCAACGCCCGCGACGAUACACUGUCGCACUGGCGUUUACCUCCCUGUUGGACUGGGCCGGGCUUGACCCGGCCCUUUUUU
rnacentral:ncRNA from 1 species